rnacentral:rRNA from 1 species
AGUGAACGCUGGCGGUAGGCCUAACACAUGCAAGUCGAACGGCAGCACAGUAAGAGCUUGCUCUUACGGGUGGCGAGUGGCGGACGGGUGAGGAAUACAUCGGAAUCUACUUUUUCGUGGGGGAUAACGUAGGGAAACUUACGCUAAUACCGCAUACGACCUACGGGUGAAAGCAGGGGAUCUUCGGACCUUGCGCGAUUGAAUGAGCCGAUGUCGGAUUAGCUAGUUGGCGGGGUAAAGGCCCACCAAGGCGACGAUCCGUAGCUGGUCUGAGAGGAUGAUCAGCCACACUGGAACUGAGACACGGCCCAGACUCCUACGGGAGGCAGCAGUGGGGAAUAUUGGACAAUGGGCGCAAGCCUGAUCCAGCCAUACCGCGUGGGUGAAGAAGGCCUUCGGGUUGUAAAGCCCUUUUGUUGGGAAAGAAAAGCAGCAGGUUAAUACCCCGCUGCUCUGACGGUACCCAAAGAAUAAGCACCGGCUAACUUCGU